UAAGCUGCCUGGCCUCUAGUUAUUCAGUUGGCAAGCAUUUAUUUGGUGCCUUCUAUGUGCCAGGCAUUGUGCU
rnacentral:pre_miRNA from 1 species